rnacentral:rRNA from 1 species
UACGAAGGGGGCUAGCGUUGCUCGGAAUCACUGGGCGUAAAGGGUGCGUAGGCGGGUCUUUAAGUCAGGGGGUGAAAUCCUGGAGCUCAACUCCAGAACUGCCUUUGAUACUGAGGAUCUUGAGUUCGGGAGAGGUGAGUGGAACUGCGAGUGUAGAGGUGAAAUUCGUAGAUAUUCGCAAGAACACCCAGUGGCGAAGGCGGCUCACUGGCCCGAUACUGACGCUGAGGCACGAAAGCGUGGGGAGCAAACAGG